GAUGAACGCUGGCGGCGUGCCUAAUACAUGCAAGUCGAGCGAAUGGAUUAAGAGCUUGCUCUUAUGAAGUUAGCGGCGGACGGGUGAGUAACACGUGGGUAACCUGCCCAUAAGACUGGGAUAACUCCGGGAAACCGGGGCUAAUACCGGAUAACAUUUUGAACCGCAUGGUUCGAAAUUGAAAGGCGGCUUCGGCUGUCACUUAUGGAUGGACCCGCGUCGCAUUAGCUAGUUGGUGAGGUAACGGCUCACCAAGGCAACGAUGCGUAGCCGACCUGGGAGGGUGAUCGGCCACACUGGGACUGGGACACGGCCCAGACUACUACGGGAGGCAGCAGUAGGGAAUCUUCCGCAAUGGACGAAAGUCUGACGGAGCAACGCCGCGUUAGUGAUGAAGGCUUUCGGGUCGUAAAACUCUGUUGUUAGGGAAGAACAAGUGCUAGUUGAAUAAGCUGGCACCUUGACGGUACCUAACCAGAAAGCCACGGCUAACUACGUGCCAGCCGCCGCUGUAA
rnacentral:rRNA from 1 species